UACGAAGGGGGCUAGCGUUGCUCGGAAUUACUGGGCGUAAAGGGCGCGUAGGCGGACAGUUUAGUCAGACGUGAAAUCCCUCGGCUUAACCGGGGAACUGCAUCUGAUACUGGAUGGCUUGAGUUCGGGAGAGGGAUGCGGAAUUCCAGGUGUAGCGGUGAAAUGCGUAGAUAUCUGGAGGAACACCGGUGGCGAAGGCGGCAUCCUGGACCACGACUGACACUGAAAAGCGAAAGCCAGGGGAGCAAACGGG
rnacentral:rRNA from 1 species